GGGGAAUAAUUAGUUACUAUAAAGUCUUCACAAAUUAGUCAUUAAUUUAAAAAUUCUAACCCAUCUACAGGUCAGCAGUAAAACACGAUACCAUUUCUGCCUCUAAAGCUAAAAUUCUGUUAUAAAGUAUUGCCUGAAUUAUAAUAAUUAUAACUAUUAAAAAUCAUAUGCUAAGGACUGAAUAUUUGUGUCCCCACAAAAUUCCUGUGUUGAAAUAAUAACUCCCAUUGUGAUGUAUUAGGAAAUGGGGACUUUGAUAGGUAAUUAGGUCAUAGGGACAGAGCCCUCAAGAAUUAGUUUAGUGUCCUUAUGAAAAGAAACAUGAGUGAGAUGAUAACUUUCUAGACAAAAUGGGAAUACAAGGUGAAGAUAGCCAUCUGCAAACUCUGAUGUGGGCCCUCACCAGACACAGAAUAUUCCUGGCCUUCAUUUUGGACUUUGCAGCCUCUAGAAUUGUCACAAAUAGAAAUAAAAGAAUUGGAUACUGGAUUAUUGAAUGUUGUGUGGAGAAGAAUUCGUUUCAUCACUUGGAGAAGGACUGCUUAGUGCAUAUACCUGAUGUGAACUGGUGUUAUUUAUAAGUGCAGAGCAAUCUGAAAAUGUCAUUAUGGUAGGAAUGUACUCCUGCUUUAAGGGAGGCAAAGCCUAAUUUUCUCUUUCACCUUUAAGUCAGUCAGUUCAAUGUCUGCUAUUCCCCAACUACAGGAAGACAUUAUAAAUGUGAUUAAAAUAUGAUUUUUGUUGGAUGUCUGACAGAAUAGUUCCUACUGAGAAGGCAGGCACAGUAAAAAGAAAAGUAGUUUAAGAUACAUCAUAGUAAUGGAAAGUACACUUACAAAGAAGUCUCUUGAAUCAUUUUGAGAAUCAUGAACAAACUGGAAACUGGAGUUGCUGUGAACUGAAAACACUCUUGAAACUGCAUGGUGAUGGCAACUGGGGCUAACAGCUAAGAAGGUUACAUGGCAAUCAGAUUCUCAUAAUUUUUCUCACCACUACUGAGUUACUGAAUACUGGUAAUUUCCCAGCGGAGGGUGUUCUUGGUUCAUUUCCAAAAUAAAGAAGUCAGAAUAAGCAUACAAGAUCUUGCAUACUUACUUAUGCUAAGCUUCGGACCCGUUGUGGUUCAUCCAUUCUAUUAUUACUAAAUGUUGCUCAUGCUGAGAAGCUCCCUAGCACUAAGAGUCUCACACUUUAUUUUAAACCUCAGAGCUUUAAAUCAAAUACAUGAUUUAAUAUACUCCUGGCCCCUCAAAAAAAAGAGAGGCUCAGCUGUCCAAGCCCCAGACAACCCCUGGGGAAGGUAAAAGUUCAAAAUGCCUGAAAUUUCAUUCACGUUAGUGAAUAAUAAGCAAAAUUGUCAAAAGAUGUUGGAUUACAGUGUUUUUUAUAA
rnacentral:lncRNA from 1 species